UACGAAGGGUGCAAGCGUUACUCGGAAUUACUGGGCGUAAAGAGCUCGUAGGCGGUUUGUCGCGUCUGCCGUGAAAGUCCGAGGCUCAACCUCGGAUCUGCGGUGGGUACGGGCAGACUAGAGUGAUGUAGGGGAGACUGGAAUUCCUGGUGUAGCGGUGAAAUGCGCAGAUAUCAGGAGGAACACCGAUGGCGAAGGCAGGUCUCUGGGCAUUUACUGACGCUGAGGAGCGAAAGCAUGGGGAGCGAACAGGAUUAGAUACCCUGGUAGUCCAUGCCGUAAACGUUGGGCACUAGGUGUGGGGGACAUUCCACGUUUUCCGCGCCGUAGCUAACGCAUUAAGUGCCCCGCCUGGGGAGUACGGCCGCAAGGCUAAA
rnacentral:rRNA from 1 species